rnacentral:rRNA from 1 species
UACAGAGGUCCCAAGCGUUGUUCGGAUUCAUUGGGCGUAAAGGGUGCGUAGGCGGCGCGGUAAGUCGGGUGUGAAAUCUCGGAGCUUAACUCCGAAACUGCAUUCGAUACUGCCGUGCUUGAGGACUGGAGAGGAGACUGGAAUUUACGGUGUAGCGGUGAAAUGCGUAGAUAUCGUAAGGAAGGCCAGUGGCGAAGGCGGGUCUCUGGACAGUUCCUGACGCUGAGGCACGAAGGCCAGGGGAGCAAACGGG